GAUGAACGCUGGCGGCGUGCCUAAUACAUGCAAGUCGAGCGAACAGACGAGGAGCUUGCUCCUCUGACGUUAGCGGCGGACGGGUGAGUAACACGUGGAUAACCUACCUAUAAGACUGGGAUAACUUCGGGAAACCGGAGCUAAUACCGGAUAAUAUAUUGAACCGCAUGGCUCAAUAGUGAAAGACGGCUUUGCUGUCACUUAUAGAUGGAUCCGCGCCGCAUUAGCUAGUUGGUAAGGUAACGGCUUACCAAGGCAACGAUGCGUAGCCGACCUGAGAGGGUGAUCGGCCACACUGGAACUGAGACACGGUCCAGACUCCUACGGGAGGCAGCAGUAGGGAAUCUUCCGCAAUGGGCGAAAGCCUGACGGAGCAACGCCGCGUGAGUGAUGAAGGUCUUCGGAUCGUAAAACUCUGUUAUUAGGGAAGAACAAAUGUGUAAGUAACUAUGCACGUCUUGACGGUACCUAAUCAGAAAGCCACGGCUAACUACGUG
rnacentral:rRNA from 1 species